rnacentral:rRNA from 1 species
GUUAUAUACAACUUUCACCAACGGAUCUCUUGGCUCUCGCAUCGAUGAAGAACGCAGCGAAAUGCGAUAAGUAAUGUGAAUUGCAGAAUUCAGUGAAUCAUCGAAUCUUUGAACGCAUCUUGCGCUCCUUGGUAUUCCGAGGAGCAUGCCUGUUUGAGUGUCAUUCAAAACUUCUCAACCACAUUGAAUGAAUGUGGCUUGGAUUGUGGGGGUCUUUUUUGCAGGCUUUCUCAAGAAGGUCGGCUCCCCUGAAAUGCAUUAGUGGUAUCUGUGCUACUAUGGUGUGAUAAAUUAUCUAUGCCUUUGGUAUGCUGCAUGAACUGCUUCUAAUUUAUAUUAUGAAUUUGACCUCAAAUCAGGUAGGACUACCCGCUGAACUUAAGCAUAUCAAUAAGCGGAGGAANACUNCCCGCUGAACUUAA